GCGGCCGCACCAGGCUGCCCCGCUCCCCGCCCACGCUCCCAGCGCCUACGGACCCAAAGCCCGGCGUUCACGCCGCGAAGGAUACGAUGGGCUGCACCAUCACCUUCUGCACCUUCUGGCCCUGGCCGCGAUACGCCAUGGUGGAAGUCACAAAGACCACACGACUAGGAAGGCCGCCUCGGAAAGGGACUUCCGGAAGCAAGACCUGGAAACGGAAGCGCAUGUGGUCGUCGGCGACGCGGGCCGGUCCUGGGAAACGCCUCUCUAGCCACGGGGCGGCUUUUUGUCUAUGCUUAUAGCCUCCGCGGGCCGCCUUCCCAGUCAACCUCUCUGGGAAACCGAGGUCGGUCCUACAGCGCCUCCUGCAGGUAGGCUGAAGGCGCUGCGCUUGCCUCUCGGCCUCGGUGCUAUUCUGAGAGCCGCUCUAGAAUUUAAGUCUGGUGGCUGUCACUGCAGGCAACAUCUUGUCCAAAACCAUCUGCAGGCUUCCCUUAUUUAUUUUGGGCCCCAGAGCGUCUGGAUUGUCAUGCCCGAAGCAGUGGCGUAGUUGUGGUUUGCUCAAUAACAGAUUGAACCCUCAUCACCGUUAUGGAGAGUUUCUGUUGAGGUGGCAACUAUGGAAGGCAAUCUAACUUAGAUCCGUCUGAGCUACAUGAGGGCUUGUUUCAAAACAAAACAACCUACAUGGUAUACAACCUGAUAAACUUAAGGAAAUGGUAGCCAGUGACAUCCUGAUGGGGAAGAGCAAGCAAUGGUAUGCUGGACUUGAGAUUUACUUCACUCUCAACUGAAGCUCUGGCAGAAUUUAAGGAAUCACAUUUACAUGUGCAACUACAACCCCAAGAAUAAGCACUUCCUUAAAUUGUGCCCAGGCUACCUGUUUCUGUUACCCUGGUCCCAGCCCAGAGAGCCCAAAUCAAGCACAGUGGUGUGGGAAGAGAGCAACAAGAUUAGCUGAGGGGCUGGACAGACAGUUCAGCCUUGACAGUACUUACCUUGCAGAGGACCUACCUUAGGUUCCCUGGACUCACAUGGUGGCUCACAACAGUACCUCCAGUUCUGUUACCCUCUGUUGUCACCAGGGACACAUGUAUUACAUAUACAUGCAUGAUGGCACUCAUAAAAAUAGAUGAAUAUGAA